CAGAAACGCACAGAGACCGAUACGUAGCUGCUCUCAAAGCCGCUCAGCUCCAGUGUUGUCGGGUAUUGAAAACUAUUGGACUCAUCUGUUUGUUUCCAAAGAUCUGUACUAACACGGCAGCUAUGAAGUCAGUCGCUUCUGAGAUGAACACAAAUAAAACUGUGAAAGAUCUUAGGCCUGGGCCAUAGAUCAUUCCUGAGGGCAGAGCUGAACCCUAUGGACAGGAUUGGGAAGGAGGGUUUCCUGUAAAAGGACUGGAGAGACGAAAAUGAGACCCAUCAUGAGAAAUCCAUGGGUCGGACUUGACUGGCCUCACUGUUCUAAAGACGCUGACCCAGAGCAGCACACGUUAGAAAUGAUGGGUGAUGUUUAGCCUGAGUUUAAAUUCUGCUUCAGUGGUAUGUGACCUUGGUAAGGUAUUUAACUUGCCUGUACUCCGGUUUCUUUAUGGAGAUGGUGUGAGGAUUAAGUAAGAUUGCGCUCUCAAUAUUGUUAUUUUUACCCCACCCCCAACUCCAGACUUAACCAAAAAUUCGAGGAAAUCCUGAAUUUAAAAUGAUGCAUUGGGCUUCCCUGGUGGCGCAGUGGUGGAGAGUCCGCCUGCCGAUGCAGGGGACGCGGGUUCGUGCCCCGGUCCGGGAAGAUCCCACGUGCCGCGGGGCGGCUGGGCCCGUGAGCCAUGGCUGCUGAGCCUGCGCGUCCGGAGCCUGUGCUCCGCAACGGGAGAGGCCACAACAGUGAG